rnacentral:rRNA from 1 species
CGAUGCAACGCGAAGAACCUUACCUGGUCUUGACAUCCACGGAAGUUUUCAGAGAUGAGAAUGUGCCUUCGGGAACCGUGAGACAGGUGCUGCAUGGCUGUCGUCAGCUCGUGUUGUGAAAUGUUGGGUUAAGUCCCGCAACGAGCGCAACCCUUAUCCUUUGUUGCCAGCGGUCCGGCCGGGAACUCAAAGGAGACUGCCAGUGAUAAACUGGAGGAAGGUGGGAUGACGUCAAGUCAUCAUGGCCCUUACGACCAGGGCUACACACGUGCUACAAUGGCGCAUACAAAGAGAAGCGACCUCGCGAGAGCAAGCGGACCUCAUAAAGUGCGUCGUAGUCCGGAUUGGAGUCUGCAACUCGACUCCAUGAAGUCGGAAUCGCUAGUAAUCGUAGAUCAGAAUGCUACGGUGAAUACGUUCCCGGGCCUU